ensembl:snRNA U6 U6 spliceosomal RNA
UCGCACCUGCAGCACUUAUAUUAAAGUUGUAACGAUGCGCAGAGGACUAGCAUGGCCCCUGCACAAGGAUGACACACAAAUUUGUAAAAUGUUCCAUAUUCUG